rnacentral:rRNA from 1 species
UACGUAGGGGGCAAGCGUUGUCCGGAAUUAUUGGGCGUAAAGAGCGUGUAGGCGGCCAGGUAGGUCUGCUGUGAAAACUCGAGGCUCAACCUCGAGACGUCGGCGGAAACCAUCUGGCUAGAGUCCGGGAGAGGUGAGUGGAAUUCCUAGUGUAGAGGUGAAAUUCGUAGAUAUUAGGAAGAACACCAGUGGCGAAGGCGGCUCACUGGCCCGGGUACUGACGCUGAGGCGCGAAAAGCGUGGGGGAGCAAACAGG